AGUUAAAGAGUACCUGAAAUUGUUAAAAGGGAAGCGAAGGAAACCAGUGUAAAGCGAAGCCAUUCUUCCUAAGCCACUUGUGGUUUGGGCGCUGUGGUUAGCUGUACUAAUUCUGGGCUUGAUCUGGGGCAAACGUUUAGUGAGUAGACGACUCUUCGGAGUGAGUGCUCACUUUUCAUAUCCUGGGUCGGGCUGAGGUCAGUCACUCUGUGCUCGUGAUGAAUUAGAAAAUGGUUUUCUUUACCCCGUCUUGAAACACGGACCAAGGAGUCUAACAUAUGUGCAAGUACGUCAGUGGCAAACUGAUAUGCGUAAUGAAAGUAACAGUGA
rnacentral:rRNA from 1 species